UACGGAGGGGGCUAGCGUUGUCCGAAGUUACUGGGCGUAAAGCGUGCGCAGGCGGUUCGUUGUGUCGGCGGUGAAAGCCCCGGGCUCAACCUGGGAAUGGCCGUUGAAACUGGCGAACUGGAGUGUGGCAGAGGGGGGUGGAAUUCCGCGUGUGGCAGUGAAAUGCGUAGAGAUGCGGAGGAACACCGAUGGCGAAGGCAGCCCCCUGGGCUAACACUGACGCUCAGGCACGAAAGCGUGGGGAGCAAACAGG
rnacentral:rRNA from 1 species